GGGAAGGUGGCUCAGUGGAAGAGCGCUUGUCUUGCAUACAUGAGGCCCUAGGUUCGAUUCCUCAGCACCCCA
rfam:Dipodomys ordii contig_3876, whole genome shotgun sequence.